UACGGAGGGUGCAAGCGUUAUCCGGAUUCACUGGGUUUAAAGGGUGCGUAGGUGGGUUGGUAAGUCAGUGGUGAAAUCUCCGAGCUUAACUUGGAAACUGCCAUUGAUACUAUCAGUCUUGAAUAUUGUGGAGGUCAGCGGAAUAUGUCAUGUAGCGGUGAAAUGCUUAGAUAUGACAUAGAACACCGAUUGCGAAGGCAGCUGGCUACACAUAUAUUGACACUGAGGCACGAAAGCGUGGGGAUCAAACAGG
rnacentral:rRNA from 1 species